rnacentral:tRNA from 1 species
GCCUGGGUGGCUCAGUUGGUUGGGCGUCUGACUUUGGCUCAGGUCAUGAUCUCACGGUCUGUGGGUUCGAGCCCUGUGUCGGGCU